ensembl:lncRNA
GUCUUCCCAAUUUUGUUUCAUUGCUUUAAUUUAAGUUAACCUUAAUUUAACCUUUUGUUUAUUCCACUUCAUUCCUCUUUCCAUGCUUUAAAAUAUUACAACUCUUGUGUAUGCUUUGAUUUCUUUUUAGCUUCCUUUUCAGUAUUUAUUUCUGCUUGGAAGGUUUCUUAUAAUUUAGUUAAUGCAUUUUCCCUCCCACGUGGGACAUUUAGGUUUUCUUUGGAUUUCUCCAUUUAUAUGCACUAAUUUCUCCGGCGCCUGGACAUUUCUUUUCUAGCCACUGCUCGUCAGCAGUGAGUUUUGUUGCCUUAUUUCCCAUUUUGAUUUUGUGUUAUUAAUACUACAAACAGAACUGUGUGACCUUCUCUGGUAUUAGAGUUAGGGGAGGUUAUUAAGGCAGCCUUCUACCCUUGUCCUAAUGUCAAGGGCGGCCUUAAUUUUAUGCGAUGAAGCGCAACCUUUUCCCUUCCUCACCAGUAUUUCAGUCGACACAGGAAAACAAUAGAAGUGGUGUAGGGUCCUACUGUCCCUCUUCAAAUGACACUCACUUCCUCUUUUUAAAUACAAACAAAUCACAUACGCGGCAGUGUAAUCCUAUUUUAAUUGACACUUUCCUUUUCCCAUUUACUCCCGGAGUAAAUUUUGUCGACUACCAGCUUUUUUUCCAUUGCGAAACGAGUCACCUCUGGACUGCCAGUUUCGUCUUACUAAGCGAGUCUUUUAGACUACCAGCUUUUUUUUUUUGCUGCGAAACGAGUCACCUCUGGACUGCCAGUUUCGUCUUACAAGCGAGUCUCUUUUUCAACUGCCAGUCCCUACAGGACGAGUUUUUUCCCUUGGAAAAGUGUCAAUCUAAAAGACGAUUAUUUGCGAUGUGUCUUUGAGUGUUAAUAUUCACCUGGUUAUGAUGAUACAAGUGCCGGUCAGAGAUUCCUCCUCGUUCCCCAGGAUCGUGGACCUCUUACUAAGAACGCUGGCCAACCCCGAAUUCACAUAGUUGGUCUUUUCUCUUUCAUAGGAAAGAGGCUGUCGACAGACUUCAGCGCGGGCUCUCCACGAUGUCAGGAAACGACGAGGUCACUCUGUUGGAGCAUAAUUCGAUGUCCAAAAUCCGGCUCGAAGGACCAAUUAAAUGUCAAGAGUUUAUUUUUAAUAAGACAUUCUUCAGGCUGAAUAAAGACACUCAAACAGUUAGAAUGUAAUAACAUUAACGUGCACGGGUGAGCACUCUGACGAGACUCACGCACGGGUGAGGACUCUGGCGAGACCC